GACGAACGCUGGCGGCGUGCCUAAUACAUGCAAGUCGAACGAGAGCAACCGGUGCUUGCACUGGCCAAUCUAGUGGCGAACGGGUGAGUAACACGUGGGUAACCUGCCCAUCAGAGGGGGAUAACAUCCGGAAACGGAUGCUAAAACCGCAUAGGUCUUCGAACCGCAUGGUUUGAAGAGGAAAAGCGGCGCAAGCUUCUGCUGAUGGAUGGACCCGCGGUGCAUUAGCUAGUUGGUGAGGUAACGGCUCACCAAGGCCGUGAUGCAUAGCCGACCUGAGAGGGUGAUCGGCCACAUUGGGACUGAGACACGGCCCAAACUCCUACGGGAGGCAGCAGUAGGGAAUCUUCCGCAAUGGACGCAAGUCUGACGGAGCAACGCCGCGUGAGUGAAGAAGGUUUUCGGAUCGUAAAACUCUGUUGUUAGAGAAGAACAAGUGCUAGAGUAACUGUUAGCGCCUUGACGGUAUCUAACCAGAAAGCCACGGCUAACUACGUG
rnacentral:rRNA from 1 species